rnacentral:tRNA from 1 species
GCCCCUAUCGUCUAGAGGCCAAGGAUUCAGCCCUUUCGAGGCUGGGACCCGGGUUCGAAUCCCGGUGGGGGCA